rnacentral:rRNA from 1 species
ACGUAGGAGGCAAGCGUUAUCCGGAGUUACUGGGCGUAAAGGGCGUGCAGGCGGUUGGCUAAGUUCGUUGUGAAAGCGCCCAGGCUUAACCGGGAGAGGACGUGCGAGACUGUGGUUCUGGAGGCAGGCAGAGGCAGGUGGAAUUCCCGGUGUAGUGGUGAAAUGCGUAGAUAUCGGGAGGAACACCAGUGGCGAAAGCGAUUUUCUGGAUCGUUUCUGACGCUCAGACGCGAAAGCUAGGGUAGCAAACGG